rnacentral:rRNA from 1 species
UACGUAGGGUGCGAGCGUUGUCCGGAAUUAUUGGGCGUAAAGAGCUCGUAGGCGGUCUGUCGCGUCGAUCGUGAAAACUUGGGGCUUAACCCUGAGCUUGCGGUCGAUACGGGCAGGCUUGAGUUCGGUAGGGGAGACUGGAAUUCCUGGUGUAGCGGUGAAAUGCGCAGAUAUCAGGAGGAACACCGGUGGCGAAGGCGGGUCUCUGGGCCGAAACUGACGCUGAGGAGCGAAAGCGUGGGGAGCGAACAGG